rnacentral:misc_RNA from 1 species
UGUGGCAACCAAUAGACACAUGUGUAAGUGGCUCUAAAUGAUUCAGAAAUUUUACAGUAAAAACAAUGUAGCUUGAAUAAUUUAGCUGAUUCCAACUAGAUUAAGGCUUGAUUUAUUUGAUUUGAGUUAUUAAGAUGUAGCUUGCUCAUCUAUAGGCAUAAAUCCUUAAUGGUGUUCCAUCACUUGAAAUGUAGGCUUUGAAUACUCCACAUUGAUAUUUGAGUAAAUUUUAUUUUAGUCCUUGAGAUUUGUCUUUAGUUACGUAAAAGUAUAGCAAAAAAGGAAAAAAGUAUUAGACAAUUGAGCAUUAACACCUGUUUUCCUAUUCUAAAGUUACCACAUAUUAAUAAAAUAAAAUUAUCUUAGUCAGAAAUCAACACUUAAAAUUUUCAGAUUAUUUAAAACAAAAAUGCAUAGAAUUAGUGUAGUGGAAGAGAUCGAGGAAAAUGUAAAGUUGGAUAAAAAAUCAAGAUUGAUAUACACUGAAGAUUGAAUAAUUGAUUUCAUAUAUUUUUUUAAUCUUAGUUAAAAUUUUUAUUUAAGCAAUGAAAAGAAAAGUGCUAAUCUUUAUGGUAUGAUUAUACAAUACAAUUUAAGGGUAUCUUACGAAUGCUAUAAAUUUUUGACGUGAAUUUGGGCCUACAAUGUGAUGAAUGAAAUUAAUGUUUGGGAUGGGCUGUAAUUUUAAUAAAAUCUGCCCUAAUUUGUAAUUACAGGAAAAUCUUGAGGACUUGGAUUUAAGUUGCAUAAAUAUUCCCUUGUAUCAACUUCAAUUUCAUCUGUAUUGUAUCAUUGAAAUUUUGUGCAUGCUUUUGCUACAUUUUGAAGCUCAUGUAGGAAAAUUUUGUUUUCAUGAUUUUCAGCUUCAGCUGAAGCAUGUAAUGAAU